rfam:Myotis brandtii contig182230, whole genome shotgun sequence.
AGCAGUUCUCAGGUGACAUACCCUGGAAUCGGGCUCCCUCCUCUCUGGUUCCGGGUGUGUCACCUGAGAACUGCA